rnacentral:lncRNA from 1 species
CUGAAGAGUAACAGUGAUUUCCAGUUAGUGAAGUGCCUCCGUUUAUACUUAUUCCCAUUAAUCCUGACACCAAACCUCUACCUGCUUUAUGACCCAAUUCUUUGCCCAGGACCAUCCUCCAGAACAGGAGCCCCCAGGCCAAGCCCUGAGGGAGAGAGGACACCCCAAGGCACAGCUGCCAGGAAGAACUUGGAGACAAACAAGCUGUGAGGCCUUCUGCAGAAAUCUUGCGUCCAUGAGCACCUGCCUUCAGUCCAUUCUGGCCCCUUCUUACACAUGAGGAAGCCUGCACAGAGCCGGAGACAAUGUCAGCGCUGCAGCCAUGUCUUGAGACUGCUGGAAAGUCAGGGGAAGAUCCUGAUUGAGACACUCCAAAGAAGGGGUGAAAAACUCUUUCAGUAGGCUCAGGUGACACUAAGAUCCACUGGGACACUGGGUUCCCCACUUUAGGGGUCUCGCUCUACCAUAUGAGAUGUCCUUAUAGAAUCUUGGACUAUUAUAUUGGGUAGGAUUGGGGUUCUGGUUCUGCCCUCUCAGCUUCUAGUUGAGGGUACUUGCCCAUUUACAGUGAUGUUCCACUGGGACCUGCCAUCAAAUUCUGGUGACACUGACACCCAACACUUGUCCAGGAGUAAUUCUGCUGUGGCAUCCUCAUAGCUUCUCAGUUCCACCUCAAAGACCAUGCUCUGAUGGCUGACUCAUGGUGGUCAUUUCUCUGUUGUAGAACUCAGUGAAGGACUCAUCUUAGGACGGGAAUUAUUUGGUGUGCUCAUGGAGAAGUUUCUUCUUCUGCCCUCCUGCCCCCAGAAUACACAACACAAUACCCUUACCUUUAGCUACCCUUGUCUGGAUCUCUAGUGUCUGAGUGCCCCUCCUAGAGCCUGCUGAAUGAGAAUGUCAAGCCUUGGGAAUAGGUAGAAAUGCUCAAGGAAAGUUCUCUCUCAGCCCACCAGCCGUCCACUGACAUCUGAUCUAGGACUGCAGCACCAAUGAGCCAUCUCCUGGUGGCAGAACAGCUUGCUUCCUUGGCCUGCCCACUUGGGUUAGUGUUUCUUUAACCGAGUAGCAGCAGAAUAGUACUAGCUUAGGACAAGAGUGGAGGCUAGAGCAGGCCCUUUGGUUUGUGGAGUUGCAGAGCAAAAGAGGACUCAAGGGAACUCUUUGCUUCAUGGACAAGGGGGCCUGAAGACCAGCGAGGGGAAGGGACUUCACCAAGGUCUCAUCUGCUGAAUGGCAGAACCAAGAAAGUUGGGUUUUGAGUCCAGUAC